CCCGCAGUAUACUGACUGCGUGAAAGUAGCAUAAUAAUUUGCCUUUUAAUUGGUGGCUGGUAUCAACGGUAUUAUGAGGGUGAAACUGUCUCUUACCUAUUCAAUUGAAUUUACCUACUAGGUGAAAAGGCCUAGAUAAUUUUAUAAGACAAGAAGACCCUGUCAAGCUUUACAAGACUAAAAUCUAUUUCAUGUCCUUGUUUGGUUGGGGCAACCGGGGGGCACACAAAAUCCCUCCUCUUAUAACACCUUUCAAGGUACGACCCGCAAUAAGCGAUCUACGGAAAAGCUACUGCAGGGAUAACAGCGUAAUUUUCUUUGUAAGUCCUUAUUUUAAAGAAAGUUUGCGACCUCGAUGUUGGA
rnacentral:rRNA from 1 species